rnacentral:rRNA from 1 species
GAUGAACGCUAGCGGGAGGCCUAACACAUGCAAGCCGAGGGGUACGAUUCUUUCGGGAAUCUGAGACCGGCGCACGGGUGCGUAACGCGUAUGCAACUUGCCCUACUGAAAAGGAUAGCCCUUCGAAAGGAGGAUUAAUACUUUAUAACAGAUUGAAUGGCAUCAUUUAAUUUUGAAAGAUUUAUCGCAGUAGGAUAGGCAUGCGUAAGAUUAGUUAGUUGGAGAGGUAACGGCUCACCAAGACGAUGAUCUUUAGGGGGCCUGAGAGGGUGAACCCCCACACUGGUACUGAGACACGGACCAGACUCCUACGGGAGGCAGCAGUGAGGAAUAUUGGACAAUGGGUGGAAGCCUGAUCCAGCCAUCCCGCGUGUAGGACGACUGCCUUAUGGGUUGUAAACUACUUUUAUCUGGGGAUAAACCUACUCACGUGUGAGUAGCUGAAGGUACCAGAAGAAUAAGCACCGGCUAACUCCGUGCCAGCCGCCGCCGUAAUAC